GUAGGUGGCAAGCGUUGUCCGGAAUUAUUGGGCGUAAAGCGCGCGCAGGCGGUUCUUUAAGUCUGAUGUGAAAGCCCACGGCUCAACCGUGGAGGGUCAUUGGAAACUGGAGAACUUGAGUACAGAAGAGGAAAGCGGAAUUCCACGUGUAGCGGUGAAAUGCGUAGAGAUGUGGAGGAACACCAGUGGCGAAGGCGGCUUUCUGGUCUGUAACUGACGCUGAGGCGCGAAAGCGUGGGGAGCAAACAGGGAUUAGAUACCCUGGUAGUCCACGCCGUAAACGAUGAGUGCUAAGUGUUAGGGGGGUUUCCGCCCCCUUAGUGCUGCGGCUAACGCAUUAAGCACUCCGCCUGGGGAGUACGGCCGCAAGGCUG
rnacentral:rRNA from 1 species